CUACCCUCUCUUUUUUUUUGAUGAUGGGAGAAAAGGGAAAAAUCGGGCUCAGUGGGGAUCAAACACCAUCAGUCACUGUGGGUGGUGCCGUGCCAGAUGACCGUGCAUGGGAAGAGGAGGUGGCUAGCCAUUCAAAAGAAAAGGGAGCAUGGCGGGAAAGAACCGGCCCUUUUUGUCCUUCCUUUUUUUUGAUUCUAAUCUCCUACAAAAAUACUGUGCUCUGAUACUAAUUGUAAAAAAAAUUUCAAGAUCAUAUACAGA
rnacentral:lncRNA from 1 species